rnacentral:rRNA from 1 species
GACGAACGCUGGCGGCGUGCCUAAUACAUGCAAGUUGAGCGAUGAAGAUUGGUGCUUGCACCAAUUUGAAGAGCAGCGAACGGGUGAGUAACGCGUGGGGAAUCUGCCUUUGAGCGGGGGACAACAUUUGGAAACGAAUGCUAAUACCGCAUAACAACUUUAAACAUAAGUUUUAAGUUUGAAAGAUGCAAUUGCAUCACUCAAAGAUGAUCCCGCGUUGUAUUAGCUAGUUGGUGAGGUAAGGGCUCACCAAGGCGAUGAUACAUAGCCGACCUGAGAGGGUGAUCGGCCACAUUGGGACUGAGACACGGCCCAAACUCCUACGGGAGGCAGCAGUAGGGAAUCUUCGGCAAUGGACGAAAGUCUGACCGAGCAACGCCGCGUGAGUGAAGAAGGUUUUCGGAUCGUAAAACUCUGUUGGUAGAGAAGAACGUUGGUGGGAGUGGAAAGCUCAUCAAGUGACGGUAACUACCCAGAAAGGGACGGCUAACUACGUG